UGGGUUGUGGCUCAGAGGUAGAGCACUUGCUUAGCAUGCAUGAGGCACUGGGUUCGAGUCUCAGCACUACAU
rnacentral:tRNA from 1 species